GGCUUCGGUUCAGCCGUACAUGUUCGAGCUCAAGACUGAUACCGAACUACAGGUAGAACAACUCGAACCAGCGUCACAACUUAGACUGGAGCAAAACAUUUCAGAGUGACUGAAAGACCAGAUAGACCACCUCGUAAUGUCACAGAGGUUACAGGGAGAGGAGCCACCAGAGCAGCACGGCUUCUAGAGAAGAUGAGGACAGAGUGGAAGCCCUCCAAAGGGACCUAAGAGAAGUAAUGGAGAGACUUCGGCAAGAGAUGAGCCUGGAGGAGCACAGGAGAGGCAGCCAGGGCUACUUUUUGGAUACAUCAGCAAAGGCAUGACGGCCCACCUUUGGCUAGAGUGCCAGGAGUACCGUGGUGUACUGUAGGGACAUGCCUACGGACAGGGAGAGGAAAUGCUGUGCCCAUGAGCGAGCCAACUGUGUGAGCCUACUAACACACUUCUCCCAGACCUUUUACGCGUUCACAGGCAGUACCGGGAAGACAUUACGGUAUUAGGCCAAAUUAGGGAGUCUGGGGAUGAUAACCAGGAGUACCGACUUGUCAUCCCCAGCUGCUGUGUUUGGGGUACAGUACACUGGUUUCACACCUGGUCUCGGAGUUUCCUUUCAGGCCCUCUGACAUGUUCAUACAGUACUCACACACACCCACCGGUGUAUUCGUCAUCAAACCAAAUGCUAUCUAUGUAUCCCAUUUUAUUAUACUUGUUCUUCUAAAUAGUUUCUGUAUUUAUAUAUUUUUUCUACAAUUAUUACAUUUUGUUUAUUUUCUUAGUCUAUUAUUUGUAUUUGCUCCACUGAACUGUGAAUUCA